rnacentral:rRNA from 1 species
GACGAACGCUGGCGGCGUGCUUAACACAUGCAAGUCGAACGGAAAGGCCCUGCUUUUGUGGGGUGCUCGAGUGGCGAACGGGUGAGUAACACGUGAGUAACCUGCCCUUGACUUUGGGAUAACUUCAGGAAACUGGGGCUAAUACCGGAUAGGAGCUCCUGCUGCAUGGUGGUGGUUGGAAAGUUUCGGCGGUUGGGGAUGGACUCGCGGCUUAUCAGCUUGUUGGUGGGGUAGUGGCUUACCAAGGCUUUGACGGGUAGCCGGCCUGAGAGGGUGACCGGCGACAUUGGGACUGAGAUACGGCCCAGACUCCUACGGGAGGCAGCAGUGGGGAAUAUUGCACAAUGGGCGGAAGCCUGAUGCAGCAACGCCGCGUGCGGGAUGACGGCCUUCGGGGUGUAAACCGCUUUCGCCUGUGACGAAGCGUGAGUGACGGUAAUGGGUAAAGAAGCACCGGCUAACUACGUG